CCCACGUUUAUUCUUCUUUUCUCUCUUCUUACACUCCAAAAAUUAUGCAUUAAGAGUACAAAAAUGAUUACAAGUCUAAGGCCUAACCAUCUACAAAAGAAAAGUGUUGCUUCUAAAAAUGGGCUAAGGUACAUGCUAGAGUAAAGUUGAUAACUUAGGAGAGUAUAAAAAGAGCACUAUUAGGGACCUUUAACCCAAAAAAGUUCAGCCUCAAAACUCUUUCCUCUUUACUUCUUCUCUUGUGUUCAAAGUUCAUGAAGAACACCUCCACCGGAGGAGAUUUCUGCUGUGAUUUCGGGUGGCAAAAAGGAGCAGCCACCACCGAGUCUAGCCACCUGUUACAGCCAACAAACGUGCCAAAUAUACCCCUGAAGUCAUUUGUUUUUCAACCCAUUGAUCCCCCCUCAAGUGCUGCUGCGAAAACACGAAGAAAAAGAGGCGAGAAAGCUGCCGGAAACAUCCCCAACCACCCUAUUUUUUUCGACAACUUUGUGGCUGUUUCGAUACCGGGUCUUGAACGAAGCAAGAACCUCACCGAACCUCCCAUCUAAACUCGAGAAAGACGCACCAAAUUGGAGUUUCUACGGCCCCUCUUUUACUGUUUUAAUAUUUGGGGGAGAAUACAUGAGUGUCUAUUUAAAGUUUGAUGAUUUUCAAGUCUUAUACAUAAAAUGACAUCAUACCUUAUUGGUUCAGAGUUAUGAAAAUAACAAUUUAAAAGGUAUAAAACAUUAAUAAAUUAUAUAAGUUAUAUUAGAAUGCUAUAAAUGAUAUCAUUAUACCUUGUUGUGAUAUAUUAAUUAAUAUUAAUAAAAAUCACUGAAUUAUAACUAGAUUGACAUAAAGAUAUAAGUUAUUCGACGAAUCAUAAACUGUAAUACUCGUCGUAUAUAUGUACAUGAAAAUAUUGAGAAAGCAUAAAAAUACAUUAUAUACAUAACAAAAUAUGCUAUUCAACAAAAUUGUGUACAACGGAAAUGUACAUUGUCUUAAACGACUAUAAACAAAGAUUUGACAAAUAUAUAAUAAUUAAUUGAAAAUAUAACAAAAAUCAAUUAUUAUUAUUAUUAUUAUACUCCCGAUCAUAAUGUGGAAACGAUUCCUAAAUAAAUGAUAUAACUUAUUUUUAUAAUUAUUAUAAAAAUAUAAAUUAUUUUAGUUGUGAUACGAAACUCACCACAUAUGAUAAAUUAAUUAAUUCUCUGAUUUUUGGGGAUUAUUACCUAAUAAAUUAUAUAUCAUAUCAAUUAUGCAAUUUAUCGAAUAUUUGCAUGAAUGAGUAUUCGGCUACGCGAACGAACAUCCUCCUUAUUGGCUGAAGUAAAGAACUAUACAAAUUAUUACCGCCACAAUAGUUGAACGCUACGUUAAUUUCACUAUUUAACUAAUUUCACUAAGCUUCGAAAGUCUUAAUAAUCUAAGAUUCACGUUAGUGACCCUAGUGAACGACGAAUUUUAUGAGUUGAAGACUCGUCAUCAUGGAUUUCGUGGAUUGUGUAUCACAUGUGUGUUUGUAGGAGGAAUGUAUCGAAAGGGGUGAAAGAGAGAGUUUUAUGAUGGUGUAUUUUUCCUUUGUAAGGAUCAAAUCCUAGAAUCGACACCUAGCUCUAUAACCGUUAAUCCAAGAGGAAUCAUAUACUGUAGGUCUAUGUACACGGCAUAGAUUUAUAAUAAAGAACUUUGGUGUAGAUCUAUUUCUUAUGGAAAGAUUUAUGCGAAUGGUUAUUUUCCGUCUGUGGUUGCUAGCUACAACUUCAUCUGACGAGGCAACAGGCAUCAAGUGUUUCUUUCUUCGUUACUAUACGACUGCUUUUAAACGUUAUUUAUAAGGUCAGAAGAGUUUGUACAGAAGAUUCUCCGAUAUUCUUAUCAUACAAAUGUGAACGCCGGAUUGUUAGGUGUGUGUAGCGUUUCAGCAACAACUAUUGUCACUGUAAUUUCCAUUUCGGUAGUAAUAAAGAUUAUAUUUCUAUUAUUCAAUGUAUGUUCAAUAACUGUGAUUACUGGUUUACGUCAUGCACCUCGGCGUUUCCGCCGUCGGCCGAGGGUGUGACAGAAUUUGUCGUCGCCAUAGGGUGUUAAUGUUGUAGUGUUUCCAAAAUUCAUUCAGUGAUUCAUCGAUCCAUUUGAUUUA